rnacentral:rRNA from 1 species
AUGGGGCUCCAGCGGCUCAUGUGGAUGCAGCAUCAUCGGCGUCACCACCAGAUCCAACCCCACGUCCCCACCGUAGAAAUCUGGGCUCAUAUACAUUCUCUGCUGUCCCUGCGAGAUGCUGCACGUGCUGCCUGCGUGUCACACUUGUUUCAACGUUCUUGGAAAUGCCAUCCCGAUCUCACCUUUAGUAAGGAAACAAUCUUCGAUGAAAACCUGUACAGAAAGAAUAAAACAUCAGAUAAAACAACGAGUGAUCUUGUCAGGAUAAUUUACCGCAUUCUGAAAAACCACUCAGGCAAUGGUGUGAAGGCACUCAGGCUUGAAAUAGAUGAUGUUGCCAAUAUUAGCGCAUGUUAUCUUAAUGAUUGGCUUCACCUUGCUGUUAAGCCAGGGAUUGAAGAACUUGCCCUUUUGCUGCAUGAUGACUUGGAUUACAACUUUCCAUGCUCAAUUUUACUUAAUGGGAUUGCAAACACAAUUCGGGAUCUUCGUCUCAGCAGUUGUGUCUUCCGUCCCAUGGCUGGAUUUAGUUGCUUAAGAAGCCUGACAAGUCUAGAAUUGUCUGAAGUGUAUAUUACAGGGGACGAGUUAGGGUGCCUUCUUUCAUGUUCUUUAGCUUUGGAGGAAUUGGUACUCACGUAUUGCAAAGAGAUAGCUUGCCUCAAGAUACCUUGCGCGCUCCAGCGGCUCAGCCAGUUGGUGGUCACUAACUGUGAAAAUCUGGAGGUUAUAAAGAGCAAAGCUCCUAAUCUCACCGUUUUUGAAUACACUGGUGGCGUAGUAGAAGUGUCAAUUGGAGAUGCGGUGCUAGACAUUAUGAUUUCAGCUUCUGGUUGGAACGUUGUUCAUUAUGCUCGCGCCAAGCUUCCACAGAUGGUCCCAAAUCUUGAAACUCUUGACAUGACCUCAUCUUUGGCGACAGACAUACCGUUUUUACCUGGCAAAUUCCUUCACCUCAAGCACUUGUGUAUUUUUUUCAUGGUAUCAGCAGGGGCUUUUUGCCCAGACUAUGAUUACUUUUCUCUGGUUUCUUUUCUUGAUGCUUGUCCUUCCUUGGAGACCUUGAUGUUGUCUGUAACACAACAGAGUGUAGAGCAUGAUUCAGUUUUAGGUGAUUCCUCACAUCUAAGGCAGAUGCCAGGACACUGCCAUGGCAGCAUCAAGGAUGUGAAGAUCAUCGGUUUCUGCUCCGCGAAAAGCAUGGUUGAGCUAACAGUCCAUAUUCUUGAGAACGCGGUUUCGCUGGAGCGCCUUACACUGGACACUGUCUGUUAUGAUCUUAGGUGUUCGGAUGGUGCUAGUGGAUGCUCAGUUGGGAAUAUGAAUAUGAUCAUGGAAGCCCGUAAAGCACUCGUGGUUGUGAGAAGUUACAUCUUAGAGAAAGUUCCCUCUACAGUUGAGUUAAACGUUGUGGAGCCUUGCAGCCAGUGCCAUGCUGUUGAAAAUUAA